UACGGGGGGAGCAAGCGUUGUUCGGAUUUACUGGGCGUAAAGGGCGCGUAGGCGGCCAGCGCAAGUCAGUUGUGAAAUCUCCGGGCUUAACUCGGAACGGUCAACUGAUACUGCGCGGCUAGAGUGCAGAAGGGGCAACUGGAAUUCUCGGUGUAGCGGUGAAAUGCGUAGAUAUCGAGAGGAACACCUGCGGCGAAGGCGGGUUGCUGGGCUGACACUGACGCUGAUGCGCGAAAGCCAGGGGAGCGAACAGG
rnacentral:rRNA from 1 species